rnacentral:rRNA from 1 species
AUGCACCAUCGACGGACGAAGCAUAUUGAGCUCGAUAUUCACUUCGUGCGCGAGCAGGUUGCCCUUGGUCGUGUUCGGGUUCUCCACGUGCCGACGACGCAACAGUUUGCUGAUGUGAUGACUAAGGGAUUGCCUACUCCCGUCUUCGAGGAGUUUCGGUCCAGUCUCUGUGUCUCCGGCGACGCUUCGACUGCAGGGGGGUGUUGA